rnacentral:ncRNA from 1 species
GUAAGCCGUGUGCGGAAAAGUCGCACGCACGGUUUGAACGGGGCCCUACCGGCAU